UACAAGCAACAAUAAAUGUUGGUGAGGAUGUGGGGGGAAAGGUACACUCAUUCUCUAAUCUUUAAAGUUCCCUUCUUCCUGCUUCCUCUGGGCUUAGUGUUUCUUUUUAUACUUUUUUUCAAGUGUUAGGCUGUUUAAGAUAUUCCUUUUUCUUAAAGUGAGUGUUGGUGACUUUGAACUCCUCAUAGAAGUUUUACCACACCCCAUAACUUUUAGUGUGAUGUUUCCAUUUUUGUUUGUUUCAAAGUGUUUUUUAAAUCUCCCUUUCGAUUUCUUCUUUGUCCCAUUGAUUUUCAGAUGGGUUGUUUAAGUCUCCUGUAUUUGUAAAUUUUCCAGCUUUCCUUCUGUUAUUGAUCCCUGGCUUCAUAGUACUAUUGUCAAGAAAGAUACUUGAUGUCAAUCUUAAAUUGGCCAAGACUUGUAUUGUGGCCUAACAUGGUCUAUUCUGAAAGACGUCAUGUGUGUACUUAAAAAGAAGCCGCAUUCUGCUUCUGCUGCAUAGAAUACUCUGAAUAUGUCUGUUAGAUCUUUUGGUCUAUAGUGUUGUCCAAAUCUGCUAUUUCCCUAUUGAUUUCUGUCUAAACGAUCUAUCAUUCUUGAGGGUGAAGUAUUAACAGCCCUUGCUAUUAUUGUAUUUCUGCCUACUUCUCUUUUCAGUAUUAUAUUUGCUUUAUAUAUUUGGGUACUCCAAUGUUAGGUGCAUAAAUAUUUACAAUUGUUACAUCUUCUUGAUGAAUUAACCUGAAAAAAAAUGUUUUUAGAUUUGCAUAUUAGUUAUGACUUGGUUCUAUGUACAGAGAGAAUGAACCAUUCAAUUUUAGUAUGAUCUCAACAGUAAUCAUACAAUAAAAUAUCAAUUAAUAUACAAUGAAAUCUUCUGUGUAUCGGAGCCCAAAUGUUCCCUGAGCUUGAACGUAAACAUUUAGUAUGGGGGGUUGGGCACCUUGUCCACUGACACUUCCGGUCUGGUCCAGAGAUUAAGCCACUGGCUGAUUAUCAUUGUCAUGACUACUUUGGAGAGUAAAAAAAACAUGCAGUUGGUACAUGAGUCUUCAAUACCCAUGUCCCCUGGGAGAGUCUUGCUGGGUCAUGUGUAUCUAAGCACACAACCUUGGUUACCCGGGAAACCAAGGCCAAGAGAGUCUGGAUGCUUUUUCUAUGGCCCUCAUGUUUAGCAGAGCUAUUGCCAGAGCAGCAAAGCUGUGAGCAUCUUGUAGAUGAGGGAUUCAUGUAGAUUCCUCCACAAAUUUGUGUGAUGAGUGUCAUCAGGGCCAAUUUGUGGUGACAAACACUGCUGAGCACUGGAACACGUGGCUGUUACUUCGAAGGUCUUGCGUCUAGUAUCCAAAGUCAAGUAAACACUCAUUCAUUCAAAGAUUUAUUCAGUGCCAACUAUGUGACAGGCAGGGUGCUAGGAUCCAGGAGUAAAAAUGGUAGAUGAGACAGGCUUUGGUCUCUGAUCUCAUGACUUUAUAUUCUUUUGGGAAAGACAGAUGUUAAUGCAUUUAAUAACUAAAUCAACAAGACAAGUUCAGGUACGGUAAGGCUUGGAAAGGAUAGGAAAUGUGGAAGGAGGUGCUGGGCCUGUGUAAGGAUAUAAGAAAAUCCGCUGCAUCAAGGGAAGGCAGGGGGACCUCGGAGAUGAUAUAGAUCAAGGUCUCUUGGUGCCCGGAGGGAGCCAGCCUCAUUAACAUGUGCAGGAGGAGCCUUCCAGACAGAGGGACUGUGUAGGACCUCAGGGCAGCCAUGAGGAGUCCCCAAAGUGUAGAGGGCCUCUGCUGCUUUAAGCAGAUCCACUUUCUUACCUGAGGUCAGACUGGAACUAGAGAGGAAGUGGAGUGUUAGAAGAAUUGGCAGACAGAUCCCCGGGCCAGAGGGGAAAACCGCCAGGUCCCAGGGCUGUCCUCUGUCAGCUGGGCGAGCUUGGGCAUGCCAAUCUCUCUGGACCCUAGUCUCCUCAUCUAGAACCCAGUUUUCCUAUCCAGAAAUGAGGACUUGGAAUAGCUCAGUUUUUUUUGCAUAUAUAUAUAUAUUAUAACAAUUGAAACUUUGAUUUAAAAGAAAUUUCAUCUGCGGAUACAAAACCUAUUUGGCCAACCUUGGAUAUAAUGAUGGUUAAGGAGGAUUCCUCCCCUCCAGCCCUGGAAUUCUAGGGUUCCCAGGGUUCACGGCGCUUCUCAGAUUCAAGAGGUCCUGUUCAUUUCUUCAAAGCCUUCCUGUCUAAUUGUGACCCUGAACCUUGUUCAAUUGAGGCAUGGCAUCCCAGGGCUCCCUAGAGGCCCCCAUCUUGCUUCUAAGGGGCCUGUUUGAAAAGCAUCAGGUUUGCAAUGUCAAAGUGAAAGGAGCUCUUUUAGUUCCGAGCACCAGGGAGACCAGGCCCCAGAGGAAAAUUAUGCCAAAGACCAGAGUCGUGCAGUGUCCAGGGCCCAGAACUACUGAUGGGCAGAACUGGAGCCUCAGAGUCAUCACCUGGAUUAAACCAGGGAAUGGGAGUAGGCACCAUUCCCCUAGCAGGGUGAAGCGCAGGUGCAGCUGGCGAAAGCCCGUUAUCCCUUCUCUUGGACACCCCAGGGCAGGAGAAGGGGAGGUGAGACAUCUCCAAUGUCUGGGCCUGCUCUUUCCUGCUUUUACCGCUCUCUGCUCUCUGACUUUGCAGGUAUCCGCCAAGGAGAACUCUGCCACAGGUUGCACUUAAGUGGGCCUGCAGUUGUGCUGCAUUGGCAACUUUGCUUUGCAAAGCACCUGGGAGAAACCUCCUCAUCACUCCCUAGGACCUGCGCGCUCCUAGGGGAGUGAUGAAGAGCCCAUUAAAUGCUAAACGUGAAAUAUCGUGUAACUACAUUUUCGAAUUAGUUUCUCUGAGCACAGGGGGUGCAGAAAUCUGAUUAUGUAAAUAAUGCAUAAAUCCCCAACGUAAAAGGUAAACUUUCAUCUUCCUCAGUAACUCAGGCUGAGCUUUGGGCUGAGGAUGUGAAGAGAAAGCUGAUUUCUAGAAGCACGUUUGCUUGUUUCUUUUUAAUUGCAAUUGAGGAGAAGCAGAGCCAUCGGGUGCAGGAUGACAGUGCGCUGGACAGGGUGUCCAGAGCUCUGGGUCCUGCUCCUGGCCUAGCCCUUUGUGAUCUUGUAUAAGCCCUUUAUUUUUCCAGGCCUCAGUUUCCUUAUCUGAUUCAGACAGGAAGCUAAGCCCCAAUUUUCCUGGGGGUGUGCUGAAGAAUGAGACAAUGGAAGAAGAGCUACUCUGCUCAAGGUGUGAUACCACUCUCAACUGUUCGUUACCAGUCUGCAGUGAGAUCGUUACAGAAAGUACGAGAUAGUCUUGUGACAGUGCAGCAGAAGUGACGGGUUUUCAGUUCCCAGCAGAGACCCCAAGAGGAUCACACUGGCUCUCUUGUACCCGCCCAGCUGCCGUGUGAGCCAAUGAAGUACUACUGCCCCGGUGGAUGCCAUCACAGAUCACCGGGCCCUCAGACAACUGAGCAGCCCACUUCAGGUUCAUGAGCGAGCACAGCGAAGACCAGAAGAAUCAUCCACCUUAGUCCAGGGGUCCAACUGGCUGACAGAAUCAUAUGUUAAAUAAAUGCAAAUCUCGGAUUGUUUGCUAUGCAACAGAGGUUUGUUGAUCUAUG